GACUCACUGACAGCAACUGUGGGAGCCAAGCCUCCUGGAGACCUGAGUAAAUGAGACAAAGGUUCUAACAGGCUGUGCUUUCAUCAUCUUAGUACAUGAUAUUACCAAGUGAGGAAGCCCAGUUGGACCAUGGGAACAUGUGAAGCAGAGACAAGUCGUCUCCCAUCCAGUACCCUGCACCCACGCGAUAGAUACCCCAAGUGAGACCAGUAGAAGAACCACCUACUUGAGAACAACCCAUAGAAUCAUGAGCAAAUAAAAUGAAUGUUGCUUUAA